rnacentral:rRNA from 1 species
UAAACUAGGGAUUAGAUACCCUAUUAUUCUAGAGGAAAUUUACAUUGAUCAAAAAGAGAGUUAAUAAAACUGGCGGUUUUCUUUCAGAUUGGAGGAAUCUGUCCUUUAAUGGAGAUGACCCCUUAAAGUUUACUUUUUCUUAGGCUUUUAUACCGCUGUUGUCAAGACUUAAUUGUCUUUAAGUCUAUUAUUUUUUGGAAAAAUACUUCAAGUCAAGGUGGGGCUAUGGAGAAGGGUGGAUGGAUUACAAUAAAUAUUUUUAUAACGGAAUUUUUAAGUUAAGAAAAGAGGAAGGUGGAUUCAAGAGUAAGUAAUGAUGAUUUAUUGAUAUAAUUGUUCAAGAGAAUGUACAUAUCGCCCGGUCACUCUUA